UGCCAGCAGCCGCGGUAAUACGGAGGGUGCAAGCGUUAAUCGGAAUUACUGGGCGUAAGGCGCGCGUAGGCGGUAAGUUAAGUCAGAUGUGAAAGCCCCGGGCUCAACCUGGGAAUGGCAUUUGAUACUGACUGACUGGAGUGUGAUAGAGGGUGGCGGAAUUCCCGGUGUAGCGGUGAAAUGCAUAGAUAUCGGGAGGAACACCAAUGGCGAAGGCAGCCACCUGGGUCAACACUGACGCUGAGGUGCGAAAGCGUGGUGAGCAAACAGGAUUAGAUA
rnacentral:rRNA from 1 species